GAUGAACGCUAGCGGGAGGCCUAACACAUGCAAGCCGAGCGGUAUUGUUUCUUCGGAAAUGAGAGAGCGGCGUACGGGUGCGUAACACGUGUGCAACCUGCCUUUAUCUGGGGAAUAGCCUUUCGAAAGGAAGAUUAAUCCUCCAUAAUAUAUUAAACGGAAUCGUUUAAUAUUAAAGGCUCCGCCGGUUAGAGAUGGGCACGCGCAAGAUUAGCUAGUUGGUGAGGUAACGGCUCACCAAGCCGAUGAUCUUUAGGGGGCCUGAGAGGGUGAUCCCCCACACUGGUACUGAGACACGGACCAGACUCCUACGGGAGGCAGCAGUGAGGAAUAUUGGUCAAUGGGUGCAAGCCUGAACCAGCCAUCCCGCGUGAAGGACGACUGCCCUAUGGGUUGUAAACUUCUUUUGUAUAGGGAUAAACCUACCCUCGAGAGGGUAGCUGAAGGUACUAUACGAAUAAGCACCGGCUAACUCCGUG
rnacentral:rRNA from 1 species